rnacentral:rRNA from 1 species
CCUACGGGAGGCAGCAGUGGGGAAUAUUGCACAAUGGGGGAAACCCUGAUGCAGCGACGCCGCGUGAGUGAAGAAGUAUCUCGGUAUGUAAAGCUCUAUCAGCAGGGAAGAAAAUGACGGUCCCUGACUAAGAAGCCCCGGCUAACUACGUGCCAGCAGCCGCGGUAAUACGGAGGGGGCAAGCGUUAUCCGGAUUUACUGGGGGUAAAGGGAGCGUAGGCGGCGCUGCAAGUCCGGAGUGAAAGCCCAUGGCUUAACCAUGGUACUGCUCUGGAAACUGUGGAGCUAGAGUGCGGGAGGGGCAGGCGGAAUUCGUGGUGUAGCGGUGAAAUGCGUAGAUAUUAGGAGGAACACCGGCGGCGAAGGCAGCCUGCUGGUGCGUAACUGACGUUGAGGCUCGAAAGCGUGGGGAGCGAACAGGAUUAGAUACCCGGGUAGUC